GAUGAACGCUGGCGGCGUGCCUAAUACAUGCAAGUCGAGCGAACAGAUAAGGAGCUUGCUCCUUUGACGUUAGCGGCGGACGGGUGAGUAACACGUGGAUAACCUACCUAUAAGACGGGGAUAACUGCGGGAAACCGGAGCUAAUACGGGAGAAUAUAUUGAACCGCAUGGUUCAGGAGUGAAAGACGGCUUUGCUGUCACUUAGAGAUGGAUCCGCGCCGGAUUAGCUAGUUGGUAAGGUAACGGCUUACCAAGGCAACGAUGCGUAGCCGACCUGAGAGGGUGAUCGGCCACACUGGAACUGAGACACGGUCCAGACUCCUACGGGAGGCAGCAGUAGGGAAUCUUCCGCAAUGGGCGAAAGCCUGACGGAGCAACGCCGCGUGAGUGAUGAAGGUCUUCGGAUCGUAAAACUCUGUUAUUAGGGAAGAACAAAUGCGUAAGUAACUAUGCGUGUUUUGACGGUACCUAAUCAGAAAGCCCCGGCUAACUACGUG
rnacentral:rRNA from 1 species